UGGCUCAGUGGUAGAGUGCUUGCCUUGCAUGCAUGUGGCCCUGAGUUUGAUUCCUCAG
rnacentral:tRNA from 1 species